CCUACGGGGGACAGCAGUGGGGAAUAUUGCACAAUGGGGGAAACCCUGAUGCAGCGACGCCGCGUGAGUGAAGAAGUAUUUCGGUAUGUAAAGCUCUAUCAGCAGGGAAGAAAUAGCGACCUUUGGGUCGCCAGACGGUACCUGAUUAAGAAGCCCCGGCUAACUACGUGCCAGCAGCCGCGGUAAUACGUAGGGGGCAAGCGUUCUCCGGAUUUACUGGGUGUAAAGGGAGCGUAGACGGCAGCGCAAGUCUGAAGUGAAAUGCCGGGGCUUAACCCCGUAAGUGCUUUGGAAACUGUGCAGCUAGAGUGCAGGAGAGGUAAGUGGAAGUCCUAGUGUAGCGGUGAAAUGCGUAGAUAUUAGGAGGAACACCAGUGGCGAAGGCGGCUUACUGGACUGUAACUGACGUUGAGGCUCGAAAGCGUGGGGAGCAAACAGGAUUAGAUACCCCUGUAGUC
rnacentral:rRNA from 1 species